GAGUGCGAUCUUACCCGCACUAAUGCAUUGAAUCACAUUAAAAUUUCACAAUCAAGUGUGUUUGGGCGAGAGUAAUAUUAGGAUGAGUAAUAUUUGAAAAGUUUUCAUGUCGCACCCU
rnacentral:rRNA from 1 species